rnacentral:lncRNA from 1 species
CUGACAGGAGAGCUACCUCUGACUUUCUGAAACCUCUUAACAGCUCUGCAAUGGCUAAGCUUGGCUGAUGGUUUUGAAGGCCUGGAGUUGGCAGCCCUGAUCUGAGCCAUUCCCUUCCCCAAAGGCCUGUGAGCCAUAAAAAGACAAAAGAUAAGGCAGUAGCUGUAUGGUGGCACCGUUCCAGAUCCAAACCAGCCAGAAAAAAGUGAG